rnacentral:rRNA from 1 species
ACGAACGCUGGCGGCAUGCCUAACACAUGCAAGUCGAACGAGACCUUCGGGUCUAGUGGCGCACGGGUGCGUAACGCGUGGGAACCUGCCCUUAGGUUCGGAAUAACUCCCCGAAAGGGGGGCUAAUACCGGAUAAUGUCUUCGGACCAAAGAUUUAUCGCCUUUGGAUGGGCCCGCGUUGGAUUAGCUAGUUGGUAGGGUAAAAGCCUACCAAGGCGACGAUCCAUAGCUGGUCUGAGAGGAUGAUCAGCCACACUGGGACUGAGACACGGCCCAGACUCCUACGGGAGGCAGCAGUGGGGAAUAUUGGACAAUGGGCGAAAGCCUGAUCCAGCAAUGCCGCGUGGGUGAUGAAGGCCUUAGGGUUGUAAAGCUCUUUUACCCGGGAUGAUAAUGACAGUACCGGGAGAAUAAGCUCCGGCUAACUCCGUG